UACGUAGGGGGCAAGCGUUGUCCGGAAUUAUUGGGCGUAAAGCGCGCGCAGGCGGCAGGGAAAGUCUUGUGUCAAAGACCGGAGCUCAACUCCGGGGUGCAUGAGAAACUGUCCAGCUUGAGUGUAGGAGAGGGAAGUGGAAUUCCACGUGUAGCGGUGAAAUGCGUAGAGAUGUGGAGGAACACCUGUGGCGAAGGCGCCUUGCUGGCCAAUUACUGACGCUGAGGCGCGAAAGCGUGGGGAGCAAACAGG
rnacentral:rRNA from 1 species